rnacentral:lncRNA from 1 species
GGUUGUAAGAAUUUUGUUAGGUUUGAGGUGGCAGACCUCUAAUCUACCUCUUUUUCUCUAUUGUAAACAUUCAUUGUAAGGCACUUAUGAUUGAAGGUUUAUUUGGUAUUUUUCAGUUUUUCAUUGUAUAGUAUUUUGGAUACUUUUGGUGAAGUUGAUUAAAUUCAUAUGUGGAGUUGUUUAAAAUUAUUAUUGUGAGCUUUUUG